UACGAAGGGGGCUAGCGUUGCUCGGAAUCACUGGGCGUAAAGGGUGCGUAGGCGGGGCUUUAAGUCAGGGGGGAAAUCCUGGAGCUCAACUCCAGAACUGCCUUUGAUACUGAAGAUCUUGAGUUCGGGAGAGGUGAGUGGAACUGCGAGUGUAGAGGUGAAAUUCGUAGAUAUUCGCAAGAACACCAGUGGCGAAGGCGGCUCACUGGCCCGAUACUGACGCUGAGGAGCGAAAGCGUGGGGAGCGAACAGG
rnacentral:rRNA from 1 species